AUUGAACGCUGGCGGCAGGCUUAACACAUGCAAGUCGAGCGAGUGGCGGACGGGUGAGUAAUGCUUGGGGAUCUGCAUGAUAGAGGGGGAUAACUACUGGAAACUGUCGCUAAUACCGCAUACCAUCGGAUGAACCCAAGUGGGAUUAGGUAGUUGGUGGGGUAAGGGCCUACCAAGCCGACGAUCUCUAGCUGGUCUGAGAGGAUGAUCGUCAACACCGGGACUGAGACACGGCCCGGACUCCUACGGGAGGCAGCAGUGGGGAAUAUUGCGCAAUGGGCGCAACCCUGACGCAGCCAUGCCGCGUGAAUGAAGAAGGCCUUAGGGUUGUAAAGUUCUUUCGGUGAGGAGGCGUUAACCACAGAAGAAGCACCGGCUAACUCCGUGCCAGCCGCCGCGGUAAUAC
rnacentral:rRNA from 1 species